rnacentral:rRNA from 1 species
AUUGAACGCUAGCGGCAGGCCUAAUACAUGCAAGUCGAACGGUGUCCUCGGACAUAGUGGCGCACGGGUGCGUAACACGUAUGCAACCUACCUUACAUUGGGGGAUAGCCUUUCGAAAGGGAGAUUAAUACCGCAUAAGACAGUAGCUGGGCAUCCAGCAGCUGUUAAAGAUUUAUCGAUGUAAGCUGGGCAUGUGUCCAAUUAGCUAGUUGGUGAGGUAACGGCUCACCAAGGCAAUGAUUGGUAGGGGAACUGAGAGGUCAAUCCCCCACACUGGCACUGAGAUACGGGCCAGACUCCUACGGGAGGCAGCAGUAGGGAAUAUUGGGCAAUGGACGCAAGUCUGACCCAGCCAUGCCGCGUGCAGGAUGAAGGCGUUAUGCGUUGUAAACUGCUUUUAUACAGGAAGAAACGACUCUUGCGAGAGGCAUUGACGGUACUGUAUGAAUAAGCACCGGCUAACUCCGUGCCAGCCGCCGCCGUAACAC